rnacentral:rRNA from 1 species
UAAUACGUAGGGCGCAAGCGUUGUCCGGAAUUAUUGGGCGUAAAGAGCUCGUAGGCGGCUUGUCGCGUCGAUUGUGAAAGCCCGGGGCUUAACUCCGGGUCUGCAGUCGAUACGGGCAGGCUAGAGUGUGGUAGGGGAGAUCGGAAUUCCUGGUGUAGCGGUGAAAUGCGCAGAUAUCAGGAGGAACACCGGUGGCGAAGGCGGAUCUCUGGGCCAUUACUGACGCUGAGGAGCGAAAGCGUGGGGAGCGAACAGGA